GAAAUGCGAUAAGUAGUGUGAAUUGCAGAAUUCAGUGAAUCAUCGAAUCUUUGAACGCACAUUGCGCCCUUUGGUAUUCCUUAGGGCAUGCCUGUUCGAGCGUCAUCUAAACCCUCAAGCCCUGCUUGGUGUUGGGUGCCUGUCUCGCCCCCGUGCGCGGACUCACCUCAAAUCCAUUGGCGGCCCUCGUGCCGGCCCCGAGCGCAGCAGAAACGCGGUCUCGUGGCCCGGCGGAGCGUGCCCCCAGAAGCAACAUUCACCGUUUUGACCUCGGAUCAGGUAGGGAUACCCGCUGAACUUAAGC
rnacentral:misc_RNA from 1 species